GCCGACGUAGCUCAGUUGGUAGAGCAGUUGAUUUGUAAUCAUCAGGUCGGGGGUUCGAAUCCUCUCCGCAGCACCA
rnacentral:tRNA from 1 species